ACCAAGUUGAGCAGCCCUGAUGUAGAAGAUGGUAUCAGUAUUGCAGGUUUACAACCUGCACAGGUGGUAACACACACUCACACACACAAAAAAAUGCCCAGUGUAGCUUAGAGAAUAUAUAGAUGCCUACAUUCAGAAACACACAUUCAUUGGGAUGAAUCUUGUUUUAAAUUGAUUAAUGCUUUUGAUAACUUGCUGUUUGUGUCUAUUUGUUUAGAUUCUCCCAAAGAGGCUCAAAACGUGGCUUCAACUAACACAAAGGAAGACAGGCCUCAGAGGAAAAGGACCAGAGAAACAAAAAAAUGCCCAGUGUAGUUUAGAGAAUAUAUAGAUAUUCUCGUUUUGCAGCCCACUAGACACUCUAAUGUCUCUGGAAGGGAGCUCCCUCUUGUGUGAUCCUUCCCGAGGUUUCUUCCAGGCCCUUCUGUUAAAAGGACAGUUUGGGAGUUUUUCCUUGCCCGCUUGAGGGAAGUGUCUUAAUCAUGUGGACUGCGGUCAUUAUGGCUAGAUGUUUUAAAACCUGGGCAUUUUCAUUAGAAAUUUAAAAACAGGGCCACACCUCGUCAACAUCAGGUCCUAAUUAAAUUCUAAAAUAGAAAUAGAAAAAGAAGCUCAAAAAGUUUACA